AGUGAACGCUGGCGGUAGGCCUAACACAUGCAAGUCGAACGGCAGCACAGUAAGAGCUUGCUCUUACGGGUGGCGAGUGGCGGACGGGUGAGGAAUACAUCGGAAUCUACUUUUUCGUGGGGGAUAACGUAGGGAAACUUACGCUAAUACCGCAUACGACCUACGGGUGAAAGCAGGGGAUCUUCGGACCUUGCGCGAUUGAAUGAGCCGAUGUCGGAUUAGCUAGUUGGCGGGGUAAAGGCCCACCAAGGCGACGAUCCGUAGCUGGUGUGAGAGGAUGGUCAGCCACACGGGAACUGAGACACGGUCCAGACUCCUACGGUAGGCAGCAGUGGGGAAUAGUAGACAAUGGGCGCAAGCCUGAUCCAGCCAUACCGCGUGGGUGAAGAAGGCCUUCGGGUUGUAAAGCCCUUUUGUUGGGAAAGAAAAGCAGCAGGUUAAUACCCCGCUGUUCUGACGGUACCCAAAGAAUAAGCACCGGCUAACUUCGUG
rnacentral:rRNA from 1 species